UAAAAGUUGAAGUUUGUUGCGUCGUGCGGCGCUGGCGUGGUUGAUGGCUGAAAGUAAUGGCUGUAAUCCACAGAUGGCAGUGGUGUGUUUUAUGAUUUGUUUAACGAUAAGUUUAAUGAAUUGGAAAAGUACAGAAUUUAAUUUGACAGUUGCUUGGAGGGACUCGGGCAUAACACGAAAAUCUAGCGUGAGGAUAGCCGAUCUCCGGGCUAAGAUUUGAAGCCGAAUACGAAGCAAGAAUUGUAACUGCUCGGCCUCGACGUUCGCACGCGGGGUGGCGCUGGCGUGCAGGUGGCUGCGUGGCUUGAUCAGUAUUGGUGGAGCGGCGGCCGGGUGCAGUCGGCCUAGCGGAGCAGUGUCUCGACUGUCAGAAUGAAAACUGACGGGCCGGAGCAGCUGGCACAUGACGUGGACAGAAGUGGCUCAGGGGCGUAGUGUCCGUGUUGUGUCCGAGGCGCGAACCACGUAAUCGCCAUGUUGCUGGCUGACGCCGAGAGCUGCUACAGCGAGGAGAUGGCGCC